rnacentral:tRNA from 1 species
UGAGGUUGUGGCUCAGUGGUAGUGCGCUUGCCUAGCAUGCAUGACGCACUGGGUUUGAUUCUCAGCACCACAA